AUGCCAUCGAGAAAUCAUCUUGACAAAAUCGGAAGGAAGAAGAAGAAGAAAUGGACAGAGGAGGCCAUGGAACGUGCACUGAUUGAGGUGAAGUCGGGAAGGUGUACGGUGAGACAGGCUGCCAAGGAGUUUGGAGUCCCUAAAUCUUCACUGGGGGACAGAGUCAGUGGACGGGUGACACCAGGGAGUCGCAGCGGGCCAGCUCAGCUUAUAACAUCUGCCGACGAGGAGCUGUUGGUGGAGUUCUCUUUAUAUAUGUCCAAGCACGGAUUUCCACUGACCAAGCAACAGCUGGUGUCCUUUGCCUCAUCCAUUUAUAAGCGGCAGCAUCGGAGGGUGGCAUUUUCUAAACUAGGCCAGACCUGGUGGCUCAAUUUUAGAAAACGGCAAGAAAAGAAUAUUACCAUUCAGCCAGCAGACAAUGUUGUCCGUGGGAGGACAGUAUGUGUGAGGAAGGAAGCAGUGGAUCAGUUUUUUCAUUUACUGAGCACUGUCAUGGACGCUCAUGGGCUCAGAGACAAGCCUCACCAAAUCUUCAACUGCAAUGAGAUGGGCUUUCAGCUGGGCAGGAAGAGGGUGAUUCUCCCCAAAUCUGCCAGUCUGGGCUACAAGCCAGCACCAGGCCUGAGGGACCACAUCUCUGUCCUGGCUUGCUUUAGCGCAGCUGGAGAGGACGUUCCCCCAUUUAUUAUCUACUCAAAGGCCUAUCCAGGGGGAGUCUGUUACAAGACACAAGGGCCUCUGAAUGCCCUCUAUGGAUGGUCAGACUCGGGGUGCGUCAACUCUGACCUUUUCAAGAAAUGGUUCCUCAAACACUUCCUCCUGCACGCACCGAAGAAGCGCCCGCUGCUGCUGAUGUUCGACGGCCACAAGUCCCCCGUGAACCUUGAGGUGGUGGAAGCAGCUCGUAGGGAGGACGUCAUCCUCCUGUGCCUUCCGCCUCAUUGCUCUCACAUCCUGCAGCCGCUCGACGCGGGUCUCUUUGUCCUCCUGAAGCAGCGUUUCGCUGCACUCAUCGGUGAUGGUGGCGCCGCUGAUAAUCACUUUGCAGUCAGCAAGAAAGAGUUCUCAGGUGUGUUUAAAGGGGCGUAUCAGAUAGUGAACGAGGAGGAGGAGGAGGAGGAGGGUGCCAGGACUGUGAAGGAGGGCUUUAGGAAAUGUGGCAUCUACCCGUUAAACCACUUCACCAUCAACGAGGAUCAUUUAAUGCCAUCGCUCGGCAUUGGCCCGGCAGCUGGACCCUCGCUGUCCACAUCAGCACAGGGGGUGCACACUGUAGGAGACCUCACAGCUGCUGGACCCUCCUCCUAA
rnacentral:lncRNA from 1 species